rnacentral:tRNA from 2 species
GGGCGGUUAACUCAGUGGGAGAGUGCCACCUUGACAUGGUGGAAGUCGUUGGUUCAAACCCAAUAUCGCCCA